rnacentral:rRNA from 1 species
AGUAAUGUAUGGGGAUCUGCCCGAUAGAGGGGGAUAACUACUGGAAACGGUGGCUAAUACCGAAUAAUGUCUACGGACCAAAGCAGGGGCUCUUCGGACCUUGCACUAUCGGAUGAACCCAUAUGGGAUUAGCUAGUAGGUGGGGUAAAGGCUCACCUAGGCGACGAUCUCUAGCUGGUCUGAGAGGAUGAUCAGCCACACUGGGACUGAGACACGGCCCAG